rnacentral:rRNA from 1 species
GUGGGGAAUAUUGCACAAUGGGGGAAACCCUGAUGCAGCAACGCCGCGUGAGUGAAGAAGUAUUUCGGUAUGUAAAGCUCUAUCAGCAGGGAAGAAGAUGACGGUACCUGAUUAAGAAGCCCCGGCUAACUACGUGCCAGCAGCCGCGGUAAUACGUAGGGGGCAAGCGUUAUCCGGAUUUACUGGGUGUAAAGGGAGCGCAGACGGCAGUGCAAGUCUGGAGUGAAAGCCCGGGGCCCAACCCCGGAACUGCUCUGGAAACUGUGCGGCUAGAGUACUGGAGGGGCAGGCGGAAUUCCUAGUGUAGCGGUGAAAUGCGUAGAUAUUAGGAGGAACACCAGUGGCGAAGGCGGCCUGCUGGACAGUAACUGACGUUGAGGCUCGAAAGCGUGGGGAGCAAACAGG